rnacentral:lncRNA from 1 species
CGUGCCAACGCCGAGAGCAGGUGACAAUGGAUCCUGCCCAUGCCAUACCCAUUUCUGCUCGAAGCCCGUCGCCGUCGCCGUCAUCGUAGUCGCCGCCGUAGCCGUCGCCGCAGUAGCCGUCGUCGCCACCGCGCACCUCAGCCCUCCCCUCUCCGGCGCCGCGAAUCGAGAACCCUAGGGUUCUCAAUUUUUCGGGUCGCGGCCUCGGGUCAGUGGGUCGGACCCGGGGCCACGAGUCGGGUAGGGUUCCGCGAGGUCAAGGGAGGUUGGAAACCGGGUCGUG